ACUUUUUCUGGACCAAAAGAAGACCUGAAAGCUUCAUGACGAUACCGGGGGCCACACGAGGGAGGCACAAACCAACAGGGCGCACCGAGGAGGGUGGUGCGCCCUAAUGGCUUGUCCCUCCCUGGUGUCCCUCCUACCCCCGUUCUCUGGCCUAUAAAUUCACAUAUAUUUCAAAAACCCUGGAGGGCAUACCGGAACACUUUUUCUGCCGCCACAAGUCUCUGUUCCGACGCGACCCCAUCUGGAGCUUCAUUUUGAAGUCCGUCAGAGGGGGAUCGAUCACAUAUGACCUCUUCAUCAACCUUGUUGCCCUAAUGGGGAUGUGUGAGUAGUUCACCACAGACCUACGGGUCCGUAGUUAGUACCUAGAUAGCUAUCUAUCUCUCUCUUGAUCUCCAGUAAAAUGAUCAUCACAUCUUUGCUUUGAUCUAUCCGAUGUAAUUCUUCUGUGCGGUGCGUUCAUGGGGAUUCUAUGAAUUGGAGUCUUCUAUGAAUUUUAUGUAUGAUUCUUAUUUUCAUGAUCAUUAUAGCUUCGAAAAUAUCUUCAAUCUAUUGAUUUUCUUUCUCAACUAGAUUGAUCUUUCUUCAGUGAGAGGGGUGUGUUGUAGUGGGUUCAAUCUGGAGGUGCUCUAUAUCCCAGUGACUGAAAGGUACAAGACACAUCUUUGUAUUGCUUCCACUAAGGAUAAAACAAUGGGGUUAGUUCAUAUUAAUUGAAUUUUUUUUGUCUACAUCAUGUCAUUGUUCUCCAAGCAUUACUCUGUUUUACUUAAUGCUCUAGAUGCAUGUUGGAUAGCGGUCGACGGAUGGAGUAAUAGUAAUAGAUGCAGACAGGAGUCUGCCUAUUUGCUUAUGGACGUGAUGCCUAUAUAUACAUGAUCAUUGCCAUGAAUAUCACAUAACUAUGCGCUUUUCUACCAAUUGUCCAACAACAAUUUAUUUAUCACUGUAUGCCUAUUACAUGAGAGAUGCCACUAGGAAAAACUAUGGCCCCGGGUCUAUCCAGCUAUAAGUUUACAAAUGCUUUCAAUACCUUGCUGCCAUUUAUUAUCUUCUAUUUUAUUUUCCAAUUUACAAUUGACAACUAUUAUCUACACAUCUCACUUUCUUGCAAAUAACGAUUCCAAGGGGAUUGAGAACCCUCGAUCUUGCUCGUGUUGGGUGCAAGUGCUUUGCUCGUUUGUGUGCAGUCACUGAAGACGGAAGUUGAUUGAUAUUCCUAUUGGUUCGAUUAACCUUGGUGUCUAACUGAGGGACAAACUUAUCCAUACUAUGUCGUCAUUACCCGUGCAUCUUCAUGGAAAACCCAACGCAGACCACAACUACCAGUUGCAAGCCGAAUUCGAUCGACGUCUGAGAAGACCGGAGGUGGCCGCGCGAGGAAGAUAGAUGGUGGAAGAAGCGGUGGACCACCAGGGACUGCGGGAGUGCCGAGGGGAACCGGUGGAGAAGCGGAGCACCGGCAACCGGGGUGGCUCCGGAGUGGCAUGGUGGUGGUAGGGAAACUACGACACACACUAGGUCAGAGAUCCACACGUGAGAGGCGGCGGUCCGUGUUAGACACGACAUCGACGCCGACGAUGCAGACAACAGAGUUAUGCGAGAGAAAGGGAAUCGAGAAGACUCGUUCGUGCGCGUGAGUGUGAGAGUGGUGGGGGUGUGGGACCCACCUAACCGACCUGGGAUGGUGAAACUUUGGGUAAAUAACUAAUUUUCUAGACCAGAAUAGAAUAGUUGGGGUUAAAAAGAUCAGUCUUGAUAAGUUUGAGUCGACUGAGACUUCACGAAGUCUCAGUUGAUGCUAUAUCCGUGAGAACUUACGUUGAGAUUCGUGCAAAAUUUUCUUUUUAGUUUUUUUCUUUUUCCCCCUUACAUUUAAUGUCACUUGAAUCAGACUUGGAUGAAAUAUCAGUCGACUAAGACCUAGCCACACCCUAAAAAGAUCAAAUAGAUUCCCCUGACGUCGGUUGCCAUCCCCUACCUCCCGCAUUUCCGGGUUGGACAUGGUCACGCUCUCUCCACACCACACCCCGUUCCACUCGUCUCCGUGCUGUCGGCCUCAUCCUCGUCUAUGCGUCCAUGUCUGCUUAGUCAACUGAUCUCUAGAUAUGUGUGACCUUGGCUGCAAGAUCUCCCUAUCCCUCUCCUCCUCUCUUCCGCUUGCUACAGUCCGCCGCUGUCUCAGAUCCUCUGCAUGUGGCCGUGUCGCCGUGCUGGUGGUCUAACGUCGUGAAGCCUUCGUCUAGCCAUACGUCCUGGUAGGCCCCCGGUCUCGUCCUCAAGAUAGCAUCUUCUUCGUCGACUAUGCUCUAGGUGGGGUGGAUAGUCGCCGCAUGAUCGGACGCUCCUGCAUCCACAUGCACUACUUNGGUGUGGAAUUUAUAAUAGGCUAUUAAAUAUGUAUGUUUUUCUGCAGGCUCAAGGUGCAGACCAGUAAAAUGAAGGAGGCCCAGAGCGUAAUGGACUAUCUCACCUCAUGAAAUGAACGCAGGCACGAGGAGACCUCUCCAACUCCACUGCGACUAUUUCUCACCUUACGCGAACCAACAACCAUCCCUCACGUUGUGUAAACAGUGUUGGAUCGGCCCAUUGUAGCCCACGAAGAUUGAAAAAUUGAGAAGAAAUGGAGCACCCCAAGAGUCGAACAACCCUGGUCACGCGGGACAACAAGAGCAUUGCUAACCAGUGCGCCACCUUCAAGUUAUUGGUUAGUAGCAGGAUCACAGCAACUAGAGGUGAGAUAUUUCAAUUGUUGAGGCCAAUGCUAAAUGAUUUUUCUCAUGCAUUGUGCAUCAAUGAUCUAUCUUGCAUACUUUUCUCGUGUCCCCACAUUCAUGUUGAAACAUGAAUUGGAUAAAAGCAAAGAAGAAGCACAAGAGGGUGAUACGCAUGUGGCACACUAAAGUUAUGAUGACUAAUUGCUCAUAACAUUUAUCAGUGGCGUAUGUGGAAAACGUUUUAUAAUGUACUUGCAUUUUAGAGUUUAUCAUGCUCUACGCACCUCAUUUUUUUCAUGCUCAUGCUUAUGUGUGUAUUACCAUUUAUUGAUGCACAUACAAAACCUUCUAUAUAAACCCACGAGUGAUUUCAUUUGCUACUUGGUUACAUGUUAAGAUAGGUAGCUAGUACCAACUAAAUUUCUUCUUAGUUAUUCUAUUACAUGUUUUUCUUUGUUUGUACUAGUACAUUCCCAAUGUUGAUGUGAGAAGUUGGAGGAAACCAAAAUGCAAGCCAGCUGCUGACGAGCACCAUCACAUCUCCCACCAGGUAUUGCUGGUCGGAUACAGGACCGAGGAGAGGUACAAUAAUAGCAUUAACUACUGGGUAAUCAAGAAUUCCCAGGGCAGCUUUGGGCGGGACGGGGGAUACAUUGGCCUCGAGCAGGGAUAUGAAAAACAUGGAGUAUUAUGUGGCAUUCUAAUUGAUCCGCUGUACCCGGCGGAUCCUGUGAUGCUUGAGUAAUAGUAGUUCCUAGUGGAUCCUAUCAACUAUAUAUAUACGGGGGUAAAUCUCCUAGCUAAUUUGUCGUCAUGUGAGAUAUAAGUUCAUUUUCUUCCAUAUUAUAUACUAUUCAUUAUUAUUCCGCCCCGUAUAUAGUAGAGCAUGCUUUAGUAAAGCAUACGUGUGCGCAAAUCAGAAAAACUAUCAAUUUAUCAUGGAAUGAAACUGAAAACAUUGAGAAUGCAAACACUUCAGAGAUGCCGCACAAGAUAUAUAUCAUGUGCACCAAUAAGUCAGCUUGCCAUUUGCGUAUCGGUGAAGUAAUAGUAAUAGAUGCAGGCAUGAGUCUACCUAUUUACGUAUGAACGUGAUGCCUAUAAAUACAUGAUCAUUGCCAUGAAAAUCACAUAACUAUGCGAUUUUCUACCAAUUGCCCAACAACAAUUUAUUUAUCACUGUAUGCCUAUUACAUGAGAGAUGCCACUAGGAAAAACUAUGGCCCCUGGGUCUAUCCAACUAUAAGUUUACAAAUGCUUUCAAUACCUUGCUGCCAUUUAUUAUAUUAUAUUUUAUUUUGCAAUUUACAGUUCACAACUAUUAACUACACAUCUCACUUUCUUGCAAAUAAUGAGUCCAAGGAGAUUGAGAACCCCCUUGCCCGUGUUGGGUGCAAGUGCUUUGCACGUAAGUGUGUAGCCGCUAAAGACGGGAGUUGACUGAUAUUUCUAUUGAUUCGAUAAACCUUGGUGCCUAACUGAGGGACAUACUUACCCAUAUUGAGUUGUAAUUACCCGUUCAUGUUCAUGGAACAUCCAACGCAGAUCACAAGUACCAGUUGCAAGCCGAAUUCGAUCAACGUCUGAGAAGACCGAAGGCGGCCGCGCGAGGAAGAUAGAUGGCAGAAGAACCGGGGGACCACCAGGGAUUGCGGGAGUGCAGAGGGGAACCGGUGGAGAAGAGGAGCACCUGCGACCGGGGUGGCUCCGGAGUGGCAUGGUGCUGGCAGGGAAACUACGACACACACUAGGUUGGAGAUCCACACGUGAGAGGCGGCGGUCACUGUUAGACACGACAUCGACGGCGGCAAUGCAGGCAGCGGAGUCGUGGGAGAGAAAGGGAAUCGAGAAGACUGGUUCGUGCGCAUGAGUGUGAGAGUGGUGGGGGUGUGGGACCCACCUAAUCGACCUGGGGUGCUGAAAUGUUGGGUAAACAACUAAUUUUCCCUACCAGAAUAGAAUAAUUGGGGGUUAAAAAGAUCAGUCUUGAUAAGUUUGAGUCGACUGAGACAUCACGAAGUCUCCGUCGAUGUUAUAUCCAUGAGAACUUACAUUGAGAUUCGUGCAAAAUUUUCUUUUCAGUUUUUCUUUUUUUCCCCUUAAAUGUUAUGUCACUUGGAUCAGACUUGGGUUAAACAUCAGUCGACUAAGACCUAGCCACACCCUAAAAAGAUCAAAUAGAUUCCCUUGCCGUCGGUUGCCUUCCCCUACAUCCCGCAUUUCCGGGUUAGACUUGAUCAUGCUCUCUCCACACCACACCCCGUUCCACUCGUCUCCGUGUUGUCGGCAUCAUCCUCGCCAUGCGGCCAUGUCUUCUUAGCCAACCGAUCUCUGGAUAUAUGUGACCUUGGCCCCAAGAUCUCCCCAUCCCUCUCCUCCUCUCUUCCGCUUGUUGCAGCCCGCCGCUGUCUCGGAUCCUCUCCAUCUGGUCGUUUCACCGCGCCGGUGGUCCGAUGUCGUGAAACCUUCGUCUACCCGUACGUCCUGGUAGGCCCCGGUCUCAUCCUGAAGAUAGCAGCUUCUUCGUCGACUAUGGUCUACGUGGGGUGGAUGGCCGCCGCAUGAUCGGACGCUCCUUCAUCCACAUGCGCUACUUCGUGAUGAAUUUAUAAUAGGCUAUUAAAUAUGUAUUAAAUAUGUAUAUUUUUUGUAGGCCCAGGCUAUUAAAUAUGUAUUAAAUAUGUAUGUUUUUCUGUAGACCAGAGGCAGGGUUGGCCCAGAGGGUGUGGAAUUUAUAAUAGGCUAUUAAAUAUGUAUGUUUUUCUGUAGGCCCAGGGUGCAGACCAGUAAAAUGAAGGAGUCCCAGAGCGUAAUGGACUAUCUCACCUCAUGAAAUGGACACAGGCACGAGGAGACCUCUCCAACUCUGCUGCGACUAAUUCUCGCCUUAUGCGAGCCAACAACGACCUCUCACGCUGUAUAAACAGUGUUGGGUCGGCCCGUUGUAGCGCACGGACAUUGAAAAAUUGAGAAGAAAUGGAGCGCCCCCAGGAUUCGAACAACUCUGAUCACGCGGGAUAACAAGAGCAUUGCUAACCACUGCGCCAGCUUCAAGUUAUUGGUUAGUAGCCGGAUCACAGCAACUAGAGGUGAGAUAUUUCAAUUGUUGAGGCCAAUGCAAAAUGAUUUUUCUCAUGCAUUUUGCAUCACUGAUCUAUCUGUGCAUACUUUUCUUGUGUCCCCACAUUCAUGUUGAAACAUGAAUUGGAUAAAAGCAAAGAAGAAGCACAAGAGGGUGAUACGCAUGUGGCACACUAAAGUUAUGAUGACUAAUUGUUCAUAACAUUUAUCAGUGGCAUAUGUGAAAAAGGUUUUAUAAUGUACUUGCAUCUUAGAGAUAAUCAUGCUCUACGCACCUCAUUUUUUUCAUGCUCAUGCUUAUGCGUGUAUUACCAUUCAUUGAUGCACAUACGAAACCUUCUAUUUAAACCCACCAGUGAUUUCAUUUGCUACUUGGUUACAUGUUAAGAUAGGUAACUAGUACCAACUAUUUUUCUGCUUGGUUAUUCUAUUCGAUGUUUUUCUUUGUCUGUACUAGUACAUUAAUCCCAAUGUUGCUGUGAGAAGUUGGAGGAAACCAAAAUGCAAGCCAGCUGGUGACGAGCACCAUCACAUCCCCCACCUGCCACGGAUACGGGACAAAGGAGAGGUACAGUGAUGGAAGACUGACCUAUAGCAUUAAUUAAUGGCUAAUCAAGAAUUCCCACGGCAGCUUGUGGUGGGACGGGGAUACAUUGGCCUCGAGCACGGAUAUGAAAAAGAUGGAUGGUUAUGUGGCAUUCUAAUGAUUCCGCUGUACCCGGCGGAUCCUGUAAUGCUUUAUUAAUCUAUACUUCUAUACUUAUACUAAUUAGAAACUUUCAAGAAAAUCACAAGUUAAUUAAAAAAUACCAACCGUUCAUCUUUAUGGGGCCGAAUUAUUACGGUGUAGAUCAAUACGUAAAAUCCCAACGAAAAAACCACUUGAAAGGCCAAAAAUCAAUUUUUAGGGAAAAAAUCCUGAGAUCUCAUCUAAUCCCCCGUCUAAAAAACAUUGCAUCUAUCCUCACCCUUCCGAUCCUAAAAAUAACUAUUCCUCGCGCUAAGAUUCCAUGUAUCCCUCAAUCCUCUUCUAUGAGCGAAGGGCAUCUUCUUUCCAUAAUACUUAUCCACCAGGCUAGGGUUCAGGUUGCCUUCACUGUUGCUCCUAUAUAGCUGCCGUCUCUUGGGAACGCAAGUCCGAAUUUUGCUUAGUCUCUCCGGCGAAUCUCCAUGGAGCGACCUAGCUGGCAAGCGCUUUCGGCCGAGGGAAACAAACACGUACAACAGGUAAGCAGGUUGAUUUAUUCCUUCCGUGAAUACAUGUACAUACACAUGACGGUGACUUAUUGAAUAUGGGUAGAUGUGCACAAGGCAAGAUAUUAGGUACUUGCCCAGCCAGCUAUGGCAAGAUGCCAAAUUACACACGCUAUUUAAAGUUGCUAAUCUAAUGAAAAACAUAAGCACCAAUGUACAGUUUAAUCUCCGUAGCAGUUAAUGGAUGAAACUGGGUCUCACAUGUUACACUAUAUAUGUAUUCCCUCAUGGCUGUAUCAUUAUCCGACGAAUCUUUUCUUAGUUUAUUUCCAUGAUACUAAUUGAUGUGGAUGAUUUUGGGGCUAAAGUUACUAAGGGAAAAGUAAUAGAAGUGAAACACAUCUCAGAAUCAAAGUAUACAAUUAUAUUCAGAAAAGUAAUCUGUAACUUGCUAUACCUGGACAUAUAUACAUGUAAAUUGUGCAUGUUAUCUUCUAAUGAAAUAUAUAAUGAAAGAUAGAAGUAGAAUAUAAAUCCACAUACACUGGCAACUUCCGAAUUUAUAAAUCUGAGGUUGAGGCACCUUUGAUAAUUAUAUUUGGAUGGAACAAGUGAUAUAUUAUUGUUUUGUGUGGCUACUAUGUAAGAAAAAGUUAUGGAAACUGUGUUCUCUUUUUCUCCUUAAAUAGUACAUGCUUUUUUACAUUAUUCAUUUGAAUUCACAUGUGAUUGGGCCUUCGCAUUAUUCAUAUUUUAUAAAAAGCACGUAGUGUUUUUCUUAUAAUCUAUAAGGCAUAUAAAUAGUUCAGGCUUCAUUAGUAGUAUUCAAUUGUUUAAUCUAACUAGGCGCAAGCAAAAUAUGAUGCAUGGUGAUAUUAACAUAGUGGAAACACGUAAAUGACAUAGUUUUGAUACAAAUCAUUUCUUUCUACAUGUAGUUUAGUACUUUGUCUUCAUUAUAUUUCCAAAUGGAACUAUAUCGCCAUAUGGAGUACAAACCUUAUGCUCCCAAGCUUCACAUAGCCAAAACACUCAAAGGAAAAUCCUAUUUUUUUCUUACAUGUAAACGUCUGCACAAACAUUUGACUACAAAAUAUCUGCAUUUGCAUCUUACGUAAAAAGGGUCAUGUGUGGAUCUAAAAAUAGCAAAUAGUAGUACAUAAAAUAUGAUACCUUCAUUUGAAUUUCUAUUAAAAUAACAAGUAGUAGUACACUUCUGCAUGUACAUUUUCUUCUCAAACUUCAGAGUGCAUUUUAGUUAUUUUUAUAACACAACUCAAAGGAGACAUACAUGAUAAUAUCUUAUUAGUGUCACUAGGUUUUAGACAUGAUAGAACAUAUUGCACACAAUUAAGGAAAUGAGAGGGUACAACAAUUUUUCAUGAUGGGAGUAUGUUGAUCCUACUUAGUGUUAGGUAUGAUACAAUUUUUUCCUAGAUACUUAUUUAUUAUAAUGUAUACGUUGUUGUGUACAUCCAACGUCCAAAAAUAAGUGUUGCUGAUUUAGUAGAACGUAUGACACUUAUUUUGGAUGGAGGGAGUACUAUUUUUCCUUUCAUUAAUAGUCCAAGUACAGAUCAGUGUAACAUAAUUGAUUUUUUUUACAAAUAUCCCUUAAUUUUCUUCAAGAAUUGUAUCAUUACUAUUACACGGUAACCGAUGUGCGUUGCUGCAUGUUAUUAGUACCAAUUAUUCAAAAAUGUUGUUUUAACAAUCUAAAAAAAUAAAAAAAAUAAUUAAACGCAAGGAAUAUUAAUAGAAGUUCAAUGAUUUGGUUAAAGAGACUAUCCCGUGCGUCUACGCACGGGUUUACGACUAGUAUCCUAGUGGAUCCUAUCAACUAUAUACGGGGGCAAAUGUCCUAGCUAAUUUGUUGUCAUGUGAGAUAUAAUUUCAUUUUCUUUCAUAUUAUAUAUUAUUUAUUAUUAUUCUGCCCCGUAUAUAGUAGAGCAUGCAUUCGUAAAGCAUACGUGUGCGCAAACUAGAAGAACUAUCAAUUUAACAUGGAAUGAAACUGAAAACAUUGAGAAAGAAAAGGCUUCAUAGAUGCCACACAAGAUAUAUAUGAUGUGCACCAAUAAGUCAGCUUGCCACCAAGUGUGCUAUAUUACGUUUAGAAAUCCACAGUAGUUAAGCAAGAUCAGGUAUUCUGAUUCUUUGCACAUUCAAACAGUAGAACUAAUUACCCAGACACAAGCCUCCAAUGUACAAGUUGUCAACCAAAUAAUGCCACUCAAUAUAAAAAAAAUAUAGUAGAUUCAGUUGUCGCCGGAAGUUCAUCGUAUCAGAACAUAUAUGAGUUACAGUAGAUAGCUAGGUGACCAGCACCAUCAGCCGUCAAUUGGGAUCAUCGGCUACAAGGUCUGGCACAGAAACAAAUAAAACAAUUGUGGGAACCGAAGAACUUACGUGGAGAUUGAGCCCGAGGAAGGAAUCGUAGAGGAAGUAAACUAGGGAAUCGACGCCGAUGUCGCAGCCACAUUACUGCCGUCCUGCCGGCGCCAAAGUUGACACUGAUUAGAGCCAACAUCCAAUGUGUCGAGCCGAUACCAGGGGCGGCCAGGCCUACUGCCGCACCAGCAUUGCGGGAGGCCUGUUGGGUAAUCCAAACAUUACGUGAGUUGUUCUUGGUAAGUAUUGGAGUCUUUCAUGUUGAGUCAUUAGUGUGUCUCGGUAAGAAGACGAAGGCCAGCGUAAAGAUAGAUGCGCACCAGUUAAGUUGAGUUCCUGCAUGAGAGGUUAUGUGUUUAGUCUGCAUGUAGCACGCUAAGAUGUGACGACGUGGACUGGUAAUCAAAGUUAUAUGUUGGUUUCAAGUCAACCAGUUAAAAGUUUGAAUUAGGGGAUGAAUGUUGGGUAAUCCAAACAUUACGUGAGUUGUUCUUGGUAAGUAUUGGAGUCUUUCAUGGUGAGUCAUUAGUGUGUCUCGGUAAGAAGACGAAGGCCAGCGUGAAGAUGGAUGUGCACCAGUUAAGUCGAGUUCCUGCAUGAGUGACUAUGUGUUUAGUCUACAUGUAGCACGCUAAGAUGUGACGGCGUGGACUGGUAAUCCAGGAUGUGUUGGUUCCAAGUCAACAAGUCGAUGUUUAGAUUAGAGGGUGAAUGUUGGAGUAAUCUAAACAUGUGAUAGUUGUGUCGAGUUAGAAUCAAUAGUGUAAUCAGCGUUGCCGGUGAUUAAAUUAGGUAAGUUGAGUUAGUACUAGUUGAAGCAGCCUGUGCUACGUGUGUGUCAGCUAGCCUAGUCCAAACCGGAUUGAUGUGUUUCCAUGUUAGUUUCGGUUGGAAUAGCUAGUCGUAAUAUUUAGGUGUUGUGUGUGCCCGAGUCAGCUAUGUAUUAGCAAUCCGUGUAGUGCUAGGAUAUACAGUACGAGUAGGAUUAGAUUUGUGCUAGUCGAUAAGAGAUGUGUUGUGCAUAUAUAUAUAUAUAUAUAUAUAUGCAUCGGGUCGUGUAUCGAGUUGUACCAGAAAAACGAGAAAAGCAAUAAACACUAGUAGAAAACAAGGCAUUGAGCCAACCACAUUUGACCCGGAUUGGAUAUAAACCCGUUCUAAAGGGUCUGUCCGCUGGGCCCCCUCCCUGCAGCAAAUGGCCGGAAGGCCUUUAGGACCGGUUUGUAACACAAACCGGUCCUAAAGGUUUUUGGACCGUUUGCUGCAGGGAGGGGGGCCCAGUGGACAGACCCUUUAGAACCGGCUUGUAUCACAAACCGGUUCUAAAGGUUUUCUCAUUUUUGCAGCAACUGCAAGGCCCCGCUGUCAGACCCUUUAGCACCGGUUUUUGACACAAACCGGUCCUAAAGCCCUCCUCUCCUUCCUCCCUGAGCACCCUAUAUUCCACCCCAUUUUUUCUAGCUCGAGCUCAACUCCAUUUUUGCUCUCUCCUUCCUCUUGGGAGCUCUAAUCCAUCCCCAUUUUUCUCCAUCAUUUGUCAAGAUUGUUGGCACCCAUCGGUCCUGCGGUUAGCAUCAACAUUCCCUCUUCCGGCAUUGCAAGUUUUGCUCGUUUUCUUGCUCAUUUCAUUUUUGUUGUGCUAGCUAGGUGUUUGAUGAAAUGCCUAAGCUAGAGAGAGUUCAUCAUUUGUUAUGUAUACAUAUGCAAUUUGAGCUCAAAUUUAAUUAUGAUUUGUGGUUUUUUUAGUGUCGCGCGCCUUGUCCCCUUCCUCACCGCCGUCUAUCGCCCCGUCACCGACACAACCUUGGUGAGCCUAUUGUUUUUAUUUACCAAAACAAAUUUUGAUUUGUAUGAUUUACAUAUUUACUUGUAUAUAAUUUUCUUAUUGUGUAAGAUUUUUUUUAUAUGUAUAGCGCCAUGGUUUUGAUAUCCGUCCACGUUGGUCCUCGUCCAGUCUAUGAUUCGGAUGUGGUAUAUUAUCUUUUAUAACUACAUAUUUUCAUUUCCUGAUUAUAUGACAAUUAAUUACGCCGACCAACUUGACAUAGAUAUUUUUAUCUAGGAGGUAGUGGAACCGGAAAUGCCAAUCGACCCUAUUGGUGAGAAGUUACACUUAGUUGAACAAGAAAAUGUUGGCCUGAAAGAAAGAUUGAAAAAAACUGAAGAAAGGUUGGAAAAAACUGAAAGAGAGAAGAUGACCUUGGAAAAGGUUCUUGCCGGUGUCGUCGAUGGUCACAAGAGCGAGAUGGACGCAAUGCGUCUGAAGAUUAGAAAGAUUAGAAAAUAUGCAAUUAGUAAAGAGGCUUGGUAUCAUUAUGCCGUCGGGUCAAUUGUUACCUUUGUUGCGAUUUUGAUCGCAUUUGUUGUUGUUUUUAAAUGUAUUAAUUAGAGAGAGUUUUUAUGGUUGGUUUUAGUAUGUGUUUUUAUGAGAACUAUAUAUGUAUGGUCACUACGCUACUUUGGUUUUAACGUGUGAUGAACUUUUUGUAUUAAUUAAUUAAUUUAGUCAUGAUGAUUUAGCAUAAUGGUUUUUGAUAAAUUUAUAUAAUGCAGAUGAACCGGCAAUGGAUGUACAGUGAUCGACGUCGUCCCGAAUUCCUUAAUGGCAUGCAUAGUUUUCUCAAUGUGGCUGAGAAAAACAGGCAGAAUGGAUUUAUUUUUUGUCCAUGUAAAAAAUGCCAGAAUAAGAGGAAUUUCCCUAACUCAAGAACCAUACACACCCACCUGUUGCAAGAAGGCUUCAUGCCCAGUUAUUUUUGUUGGACCAAGCACGGAGAAAGAGGGGUUGUAAUGGAAGACAAUGAAGAAGAAGAGGAUAAUGAUAACUAUCCUAUGUUCGGUGAACACGGUGAUACUGAAAUGGGGGAAGACGAGCCUGAACUUGAGGACAUUGUUGAUGAGUCUGAUGAUGAUCUUCGUCAGGUCAUUCGUGAAGAACAGAUAAACUGCGGAAGUGAAAACGAGAGGUUGAAGUUGGAGCGCAUGUUAGAAGAUCACAAAAAAUUGUUGUACCCAAAUUGCGAAGAUGGCCAGAAAAAGCUGGGCACCACCCUGGAAUUGCUGCAAUGGAAGGCAGAGAAUGGAAUAUCUGACAAGGGAUUUGAAAAGCUGCUGAAAAUAUCUGACAAGGGACAAGAAGAUGCUUCCAAGAGAUAACGUGCUGCCCUGCAGUACGUACGAAGCAAAGAAGGUUGUCUGCCCUCUAGGAUUGGAAGUGCAUAAGAUACAUGCAUGCAUCAAUGACUGCAUCCUCUACCGCGGUCAGCACGAGAAUUUAAAUGCCUGCAACUUGUUGGCCAAGCAACCAUCUUCGACUGUAUUGACCUUUAAAGGGUACGAGAUAAAUGGUAACACAUUUUACACGGCAGACCAAGAUAAAAAGAGCACCAACCAAAACAGUGGCGUCCGGUUUGAUGCAAAAGACGACAACGGGCAAAGGGUCACAUACUAUGGUUACAUAGAGCGGAUAUGGGAACUUGACUACGGACCUUCCUUUAAGGUCCCUUUGUUCUGGUGCAAAUGGUUCAACCUGUCAGGCGUGAAGGUAGACCCGAAGUACAGAAUGACAACAGUGGAUCAGAAGAAUCUUGGGUACGGCAAUGAUCAAUUCGUCCUAGCCAAUGAUGUGGCUCAGGUUUUCUAUGUGAAGGACAUGUCUACCAGACCAAGAAAAAGAAAAGAUAAGGAAGCGAAUACAUCAGACGAUGAGCCAAGGCGCCACAUAGUUCUUUCAGGGAAAAGAAACAUCGUGGGAGUCGAGGACAAGACAGACAUGUUAGAAGAUUACAAUAAAUUUGAUGAAAUUCCUCCCUUCAAAGUCAAAGAUGAUCCAAGCAUCCCGUUAAAUGAUGAAGAUAGUCCAUGGUUACGGCGCAAUCAGAAGAAAGGCAAGAAGAAAAAUAGAAAGGGGGUGUUGUUGGUGAUGUGUAAUAUGUAUUAAACCUUUUAUGUAAUUGUGUUGACCAUUUUGAUAAAUAUUAAAAAUUUGACCAGUUUCCACAAAAUUUGAUCAUUUUGAUAAAUAUCAUUUUUAUUUUUUAAGUGUAAAAAUGACAUUUUGACAAUUCGUAAAUAAAUGUAAAAAAAACAGAAAAGGGAAACAAAAAAAUAAAAUAAAAGAAGAAACAGAAAAAAGAAAAAAGAAACAAAAAGAAAAAGAAAACAGGAAACAGAAAAAAGGAAAAAAGAAAAAUAAAAGAAGAAACAGGAAAAAGAAAAAGGAAACAAAAAGAAAAGAAACAGGAAACAGAAAAAGGAAAAAGAAAAUAAAAGAAGAAACAGGAAAAGAAAAGGAAACAAAAGAAAAGAAACAGGAAACAGAAAAAGAAAAAAGAAAAGGAAAAAACCUUUAGGACCGGUUUGUAACAACAACCGGUCCUAAAGGGUCUUUAGCACCGGUUGUUAACACAGACCGGUGCUAAAGGGUCUAUACCUCUACGGGGUCGCCAACUUCUCGCCUUCCCGCGCGUGCCUUCUCUCCUCGUCGCCUCUCUCCUCGCCGACUCGGCCUCUCUCCUCGCCGCCUCGCCGCGCCGUCGCCUCCUCGCNGCGCGCGCCGCCGCCGCCUCCUCGCGUCGCCUCGCCGGCCGACGAUCCUCGCCGCCUCCUCGCCGCGCCGUCGCCUCCUCGCCGCGCCGUCGCCUCCUCGCCGAUCCUCGCCGCCUCCUCGCGCGCGGCCUCCUCGCGCCACUCCUCGCCGAUCCUCGCGCCGCCUCCUCGCCGCCUCUUCGCCGCGCCGUCGCCUCCUCGACGCCUCCUCGCGACGCCUCCUCGCCGCCUCCUCGCGCGCCGCCCCACGCCGCCUCCUCGCCGCCCCACUUCGUCUUCUUCACGUAAGGUAUAUCCAUGCAUAUUUUCGUAUAUCCAUAUUGUUGUAUGCUUGUAAUUAUAACCGUCGAUAUUAGUUUUUUCCGACCCGAAUAGGACAUCCUAUAAAAAAAAGUUACGUGAAGCCGCCUUCAUCAUAUUCCGACGAUUCCGUAAAACCCUAAACCGACGAUUCCGACGAUUCAUAGUUUACCCUAAACCGACGAUUCCGACGAUUCCGUAAAACCCUAAACCGACGAUUCCGACGAUUCCGACGAUUCAUAGUUUACCCUAAACCGACGAUUCCGUAAAACCCUAAACCGACGAUUCCGACGAUUUCGUAAAACUUUCCGACGAUUACAAUUCCGUAAAACUUUCCUACGAUUCCGACGAUUCCAUAACUGCGGGGAAAGUUUCUGACGAUUCCGACGAUUCCGUAAAACCCUAAACCGACGAUUCCGACGAUUCCGACGAUUCAUAGUUUACCCUAAACCGACGAUUCCGUAAAACCCUAAACCAACGAUUCCGACGAUUUCGUAAAACUUUCCGACGAUUACAAUUCCGUAAAACUUUCCUACGAUUCCGACGAUUCCAUAACUGCGGGGAAAGUUUCCGACGAUUCCGACGAUUCCGUAAAACUUUCCGACGAUUACAAUUCUGUAAAACUUUCCUACGAUUCCGACGAUUCCAUAACUGCGGGGAAAGUUUCCGACGAUUCCGACGAUUCCGUAAAACUUUCCGACGAUUCCGUAAAACUUUGCGACGAUUACGACUCCGACGAUUCCGUAAAACUUUUCCGUAAAAUUUCCGGUUCCGUAAAUAAUUUUGCUAAGUUAAAUUCUUGUUACUAGCAGGUGUUGAGCUAUAGAUCCCCAAGAACCACAUGAUCAGCACGCCGAUCAGCUCGCGGAAAUGGGUGAGGCGGAGAAGGAAAGAUACAUGUGCCAGAUGAUUUUUGAAGAUGCAACGGCCAUAUAUCAUGAUGACGACGGUGGGCAUGCGUUUAGCAAUCAAUUUUUGAACGACUCCAGUGGCGGAGCUGAGAAUAUAGAAGAUGUAGUAGAUGAAGAAGUGCCCUCCGGAACAAACUCUGCCAAUGUAUAUCUCAAGUCACUGUUGACGCAACAAUUAAUUUGUAUUGCACUUAAUAACGAAUCAUUAUUUUCCCGUUUAGGUGCCCUCCGGAACACCUAGCGCAAGUACUGAGACAAAGUCGAAACGAGGCCCGGCCGCAAGGUUGAAAGAUACUGCAAGGUACUCGAUCGAUAAAGUUGCUGCUGAUGGCAAACCACUGGAACCCUCAGAAACUUAUCGCAAAUUUGUAAAUCAGUGCGGAGUUGUUGUAAGAGACCUGGUCCCGAUCAACUUAAUAGAAUGGAAUAAGCCGAAGACCGGCGCCAACGUUGGAGCUACUUAUGUCGAUGACAGAUUGAAAAGAGUGCUUUGCGACACGGUCUGGCUAAAUUUCAGCGUAGCGGAAGAUAAGAAGAAGAAAGUCGAGGAGUGAGCUUUGAAGAAGAUGGCCACACAAUUCCAGAGGUGGAAGAAAGACUUGUGGAAGAAAUAUAAGGACGAAGAUCCAGUUUUCACUGGGCACCUAGUGAAGAUAAGAGACGCUUGGCCUGAUUUUAAGGCGUACAAGAAAUCGGGUGUCUUCACAUCCCGAUCAGCCACAAAUACGGAGAAUGCGAAGAAGAAGAAAUAUCACCAUAUUUUGGGGUCAGGUGGCUACAUGACUGCCCUGCCUAGGUGGCGACGAUAUGAAGAUGCGCUUCUGAAAAGAAAUAUCAUUCCACAGACACAUGACUGGCCCGAUAGGUCCAAGUUCUGGUUGUUCGCGCAUGGGGCAACGUUGGACGCUGAGACUGGAAUGAUUGUUGCGGAGGGACCAUGGUCGGAAAAAAUAAGACAAGUCGUAUCAGAUCUAGAGAAGGCAAUAGAAGCUGUUCGAAAAGGAACUUUUGUUCCCGAUAGAGAGAACGACGAGUUGACGAAGGCACUCGGGAACCCCGAAAAGUGGGGACGAACACGAGGCUUUGGAGCCACUACCCCGUGGAACCAAGGGUUUCCGGCGGACCUUGGCACUUACAGAAGCCAUGGUAGAAGCAAGAGAAAGGCGCUGGAACGGAUAGCGACAUUAGAAGAAAAGGUGUCGUUUCUCUUGAAGAAAGGGGGACACCCUGUACCUGACACUGAAGAGGAGGAAGAAGAUCCUGCACCUGACGCUGAUAGGCAGCAAUUAGAAGACGAUCCUGUAGCAGAUGCCGUCCCAUCUCAGCAUAGAAGUAGCGUGGGUUCCACGCAGCUGCAGCUAGAAGACGGUCCUGCAGUCGAACCGUCGGCGCCUCACUACCCCGUGGAUGAUGUCACGGAGAAGACAAACUGUGAGAUACAUAUGCCAAUGGGGAACAUAUCCUUCAUGGUGGCGUCAGGCUAUGCUUUACCGAAUCAACCUGGAGCAACCUACCAUGGUUGUCAGAUUCCAGCAUCCCAUGCUCGUGUCGGGUUGUCAACAAUUACGCCGGGAUGCCAGUCAAUUGAGCUUGAUAUUCCUGGAGGUGAAGGCGAGAAGACACUGGGAGAAAUGGAGCUUGGUAUCAUCUUGUGGAAGAAGAAACACAUCGUGUUUCCUAACGCGGCGCCAAGGCCACCGACUCCUCCAGGUACAAUUAUGCACCACCUCCAACAAUUACUGAAUGUUGCACCACAUGUAAGCCUAAUUUUAAUAGUUUUUUCACUUUCGUACAGAGAAUGCACGACCUCCAAGUCCACCCCCCAACGCACCUCCAAGUCCACCCCACAACGAAGAUAGGGAGCCCGAGGCCGAGUGUCCAUCGCCUGUGCACUCCAGUGAGCUGACGGAUGCGCGCACUACGGGUACGGCAAAGCGGAAGCUGCAGUUCAGAAGAAACGGGACUCCUCCCAAGAAGAGAGAAAGGAAACCCAAUAAAGUCAAGACUCCCCCGAAGUUACCAGGCCUGAUGACUCCGGAGGAACUAGACGAGGCCUUGGAAGCCAAAAACAAAGCAUGGUUCGCACGGUUUCCCCUGAAGCCCCCUCCAGACAUCUGGAAGGAAACUCUGAAGAACGUACCAAAGUGGAAAAUUGAGCGCACCAUCGACAACUUAUAUUAUCCUGAACCGCCGCCACCGCCGCCCCUUUCAGACUAUGAACGGUUCAUUGAAAAGAUGCACACCGCACAGAUGAAGCAGGCGGAGCAGAUGAAGCAGGCGGAGCAGACGAAAUGCGGGAAACAAGUUCCCCAGCUCGGACAACAAGAAGCACAGUCAAUUGCCCCGCUCAAGGUGUUAUCUGACCAGGCUUCAGUGUCCGGUCCACGCAUGGGCGACGUAGGUUACGCUAUUGCUGAUGUGGUAUAUAAAUAUAAGCCCGAGCAGCCUCUGGUCGAAAAUCCUAGUGCUCUAACAACCCAACUAUGGAAUUUACAUGGUUGGUACUUGGAGGCCGCAAGGCAAAAGAGAGACUGUAUCAUGGCGGCAGUUCAGGAUCAACACUACUUCGGAGAGUACGGUGUGGAGGUUGGGUUCGAUGAUUUUUUCCAGAUGUACAAUCAACGUGCCCUCGACAAAGCUAUCGUCAGCUGCUACUGUUUGUAAGUGUUUUAUUUGUGUAAUUUAAUUAUUUAGUUAAGCUCGCGUUCAUUGCCCGUAUAAUUAUCACCCACGAGACAUUCUUUUUGUACGCUACUAUGCAGAAUGAAGAUUCGUGAAUGCAGGCUGGCAGGAAUCUGGGACUUUGGGUUCAUUGACCCGUAUUCGUUUCAUCAAGAGACAAUAGAAAAGUUCAACAAGGAUACACCGGAUGAUUUGCUAAGGUUUUUGAAGCGACAAAGUACCAAAAAAGAAAUACUUUGGCCCUACGGAUUCAAGUGAGUGUUACUGUCUUGUACACAUUCCAUUUUGCUUACCUGAUGUUAAGUGUAAUUGAUGAGUAUGCAUGACUGCGUGUGUACACGUGCGCAGGUCCCACUUCAUAUUGUUCAUCAUUAGAAUCGAUCAAGGAGUGGUUGAAGUCUGGGACCCGUUAACCUGGGACGCUGACAAAUGGAAGAGCGCGCGUCAGAUGCUUCAAAGGUAUAUAUAUAUCGGCCUCUUUCGUUCAUCGGCCUCUUUUUCGUUCAUUUCCUGAUAUCAAGUAAGUAAUAAUUAACUCUUGUAUUCAUUUUUCUUUGUCGGCCAGGGUUUGGCAAAUGUUCAUCAAGGAAGAACCCGGUACAUGGGCAGACAAGCUCCACUUUCAGAUUAACAAAGUAAGUAGUACUACGUACCCUGGUUUCAAUACCAUUACCAUUCUCUUGAUUAUUAUUAAUUUGAUUGAAUUAUGUUCUCGUAUAUAGGGCGUCCCGCAACAACCACAGGGCACUGAUUAUUGUGGAUACUACGUUUGCGAGUACAUUCACAGGAUUAUCAAUGAGAAAUCCCGUACUUCCAGAAAUCUAGAGGUACGUAACCGGAUCUUCACAACUUUAUUUAUGUUGCCAUCAAUUAUGUUAGUUUUGUUCAUAACUUAAUUGUUUUCAUCUACUUCUUUAUUUAUGUUGCCAUCGAUUAAUUGAACUAAUUGUCAUGAACAUAGUCUAAUGGUCUUUGCGAAUUACGAUGUAGCUUGCGCUAUAGCUCUACUGUUUUUAUAUGUUCCUAGAGAAAAUUUAGUUGAAAGUUGAUAGUAGCAAACUUUGCAGACUAAGUCUGUAAAACCGAGGAUUGUCCUCAUUGCUGCACAGAAGGCUUAUGUCCUUAAUGCACCACUCGGUGUGCUGCACCUCGAGCGUCGUCUGUGGAUGCUAUGAACAUCCGACAUACACGUUUCUGAUGACUACACGAUAGUUCAGUACAAAAAUACUUAAUGGCUUAGAAGCAAGGCGCCGAAAACGUUGUAAAACGUCACGGAACAUAAGUGAUGUUCUAAAGAGAUGAAAUUGUGAUUUCAUGCUUGUGCCCUUGUUAAGAGGUACGAGACCUCCGACAAGAUUCUUUGUCCGCAAAGUAAAGGAGAAAGGCUCAAUCGUUGAGCAUGUGCUCAAAUUGUCUGAGUACGACAAUCGCUUGAAUCAAGUGGGAGUUAAUCUUCCAGAUGAGAUAGUGAUAGUUCUCCAAAGUCACUGCCACCAAGCUGUAAGAGCUUUGUGAUGAACUAUAACAUAUCAAGGAUACAUACAAUGAUCCUUGAGCGAUUCGCGAUGUUUGACACUGCGAAAGUAGAAAUCAAGAAGGAGCAUCAAUAGUUGAUGGUUUGUAAAACCACUAAGUUUCAAGAAAGGCAAGGGCUAGAAGGGAUACUUCGUGAAACGGCAAAACAGUUGCUGCACUAAUGAAGAGACCCAAGAUUAAACCCAAACCCAAGACUAAGUGCUUCUGUAAUGAGGGGAACAGUCACUGAGGCGGAGCAACUCUAGAUAGUUGGUAGAUAAGAAGGCUGGCAAAAGUCGAAAGAAGUGUAUUUGAUAUACAUGAUGUUGAUGUGUACUUUACUAGUACUCCUAGUAGCAUGAGGGUAUUGGAUACCGGUUCGGUUGCUAAGUGAUUAGUAACACGAAAUGUAAGCUACGACAUAAACGGAGACUAGCUAAAUGCGAGAUGACUAGCUAAAAACGGAACACGGACACACGGAAUCGGAAACACGGAAUCGGAAAGACGUAAACGGAAAUACGGAACCGGAAACACGUAAACGAAAACGCUGAAAAUACGGAACACGGAAACACCGAAAUACGGAAUUGGAAACCCUGAAAAGAAAAAGGAAAAAAAAGAAAAAAAAAAGCAUUAGGACCGGUUGGUGUUACCAACCGGUCCUAAAGGCCCUCCGCCUGCGCGCACUCUUCGGCGUCCACGUGGAGGCCUUUAGCACCGGUUUGUAAGAGACCGGUUCUAAAGGGGGGGGCAUUUAGUCCCGGAUACGUAGCACCGGAUGUGUAUCCGGGUCCAAAGGCCCUUACCAACCGGUUCUAAUACCCCUUUCUCCACUAGUGAAAGAGAUAUCUACGAGGCACGACACGUGCCUCUGGCCAUCUUCGUAUUGCUGCGUUCGCGUGCGUGUGUUCUGGUCCCGGUGUUUGCGUGAGCACCGGUGAGAUAUCGAGUACUACAGCUAGUUCGUAUAUGUUGAACCGAGUUGCACGUACAUGACUAGUCGAGCUGCAGGGUGAUCGUGUGUUCGAUCCUCGGGGCGAAAAGCCAACAAGGCCAGCAUUGUUCCGAGCCUGAUUGGACAGACGCUGAGGAGACCAGAGGCGGUCGUGAAAGGAAGAUAGGUGGAGAAAGAAGCAGUGGACCAUCAGGUAUUGCAGGAGAGCUGAGAGGGACCGGUGGAGAAGAGGAGCAUUUGCCACCGGGGGUGGCUGUGGAGCGUCAUGGUGGUGGCAGGGGAACUACGGUAGACACUGGGUGAAAUAUCUACAACUGGGAGGCGGCGGUCGAUAUUAGCCAGGACGGCGACGGUAGUGAUGCAGACAGCUGAGUCGUGCGACAGAAAGGGAAUCGAGAUGAGUGGUUCGUGCGCGUGAGUGAGAGAGUGGUGGUGGUGUGGGACUCACCUAACCGAGCUGGGCUGGUGAACUUUGGGUAAAUAACCAAUUUUCCCUAUCAGAAUAGAAUAGCUAGGGGUUAAAAUGAUCAUUCUUUGCUAUGUUUUAGUCGACUAAGACUUAACGAGGUCUCAAUCGAUGCUAUAUCCGUAAGAUCUUACAUAGAGAUUCGUACAAAAAAAUUGUCUUAGUUGUUUUUCUUGUUUUCUCUUUCAUGUUAUGUCACUUGAGUGGGACUUGAUUAAAUAUCAGUCGACUGAGACCAAGCGCCAUUCUAAAAAGAUCAAAGAGAUUACCCCUGUCGCCGGUCGCCAUCCCCUACCUCCCGCCUUUUCUGGGUUGGACUUGGUCAUGGUCUGUCCACACCACACCCUGUUCCCUCGUCUCCAUGCCGUCAGCCUCAUCCUUGUCGCGCGGCAUUGUCUGCUUCAAAACCGAUCUCUGGAUCUUGACCCCAAGACCUCCCUGUCCCUCUACUCUUCUCUUCAGCUUGCUGCCGCCCGCCGUUGUCUCAGAUCCUCUGCCAGUUGCUGUCCCAUCGUGUCGGUGGUUUGACAACGGGAAGCCUCCGUCCAGCCGUACGUCCUAGUAGGCCCCGAUCUCGUCCUCAAGAAGUCAUUUGCUUCGUCGACCGUGAUCUACGAGGGGUGGAUGGUCUCCGCACGAUCGGGCGCUCCUUCAUCCACAUGCGCUAAUCUGUGCUCAAGACCAGGGGUGGAGCUGGGCCCAGGCACAUAGGGACUAGGACAGGGGCAUGGAAUUUAUACUAGGCUAUUGAAUAUGUAUGUUUUUCUGCAAGCCCAGGGAGUAGACCAAUAAAAUGAAGGAGGCCUAGAGCGUCAUGGGCUAUUUCACCUCAUGAAACACAUGCAUGCAAGAGGAGACCCCCAGUUUCGUGGCGACUAUUUCUCGCCUUACCCUCUGUCCACACCACACCUUGUUCCCCCCAUCUCCAUGCCACCAGCCUCAUCCUCGUCACGGGGCCUUGUCUACCUCGCCAACCGAUCUUUGGAUCUAUGUGACCUUAGCUCCAAACGUCCCUCUCCUCUUAUCUUUCGCUUACUACCGCUCGAUGUUGUCUCAGAUCCUCUGCGUGCGGCCGCCCCACCAUGCUGGUGCCCCAAUGACGUGAAGCCUUCGUCCAGCCAUACAACCUGGUAGGCCUUGACAUCCCUCGUGGGUGCGUUGGUUUUCCUCCAAGCUUAAAGGAUGAUGUAGCACAGCGACGGCAAGUAUUUUCCUCAGAUAAGAAACCAAGGUAUCAAUCUAGUAGGAAGAUCCACAAGACUAUGUAAGCAACACCUGCACACAAAUGACAAAUUCUCGCAACCUAACGCGUAGAGGGGUUGUCAGUCCCUCGUGGGUAAAGUAAAGAUAGAUUUAUAGAUGCAAAUAUGAGUGAUAGAAAAUAGAUCGCAAAAAGCUAUUUUUGCAAAAAAAAAAUGAUAAUAUAGAUCUGAAAACAAAAGGGCAAAUAAAGUAUAAAAGUAAACAGCAAAGUAGAGGUUGCAAAUAGAUGUUGUGAAGUUGACCCGGGGGGCAUAGGUUUAACCAGUGACUUUCUCUCGAGAAAAAUAGCAAGUGGUGGGUAGACAAAUUACUGUUGGUCAAUUGAUAGAAAACCAAAUAAUUAUGACGAUAUUCAUGACAAUGAUCAUGUAUAUAGGCGUCACGUCCAAAAUAAGUAGUUCGACUUCUGCAUGCAUCUACUUGUAUUACUCCAUACAUCGACCGCUAUCCAGCAUGCAUCUAGUGUAUUGAGUUCAUGGAGAAACAAAGUAAUGGCUUAAGAACGAUGACAUGAUGUAGACAAGAUAUAUUCAUGUAGGAAUAGUCCGCAUUUUUUUAUCCUUAAUGGCAACGAUACAUGCGUGACAUCACUAUCAGGAAACAGGGCUUUAGUCCUGGUUGGUAAGUGCCUUUAGUCCCGGUUCACCAACCGGGAGUAAUAACUUGGGACUAAAGCCCCCCCCCCCUUUAGUCGCGGUUUGCAAUGACCCGGGACUAAUUCCCUUCCACGUGACUGGCAGAGCAUGCCGGAGGUGGGGACCUUUAGUCCCGGUUGGUAACACCAACCGGGAUUAAAGACUUCGGGGAUUUGGGAUUUUGGUGUUUAUUGUUUAUUUUUGCUUUUCAUUUUCUGUUUUCCAUUUAAUUCUUUUUCAUUUCAAACAUAUCUUAUGCUACUACAUACCAUAUACGUUAUGCAUAUAUCAUAGGAUUUCUCGUAGGACCAAUUAUAUAUCAUAGAAUUUUUCGUACGACUAUAUAUAUAUGGAUAUACAAUUUCUCCUAUAACUUGCAGAUCAUUACGUGCAUGCAUUAAUUGGUGUAGUGGUAUUCUCCGUCGGGAUCUAUGACCUGCUCAAGCAAAAAUCCUGCAAUUUCCUCUUGAAGAUGCGUUCCUUUGGUAGGAGCCUAUCCCGCAUCCCCUUCAACUUUAAAGAAAGAGACUAAUAUGAAUAUAUUAGUUGUGUAUAUCUAUAUUAGACCAUGAUAAAAAAUUGUGAAUAGUGUUUACAUACCCAAAGAGUUCUUGCAUGUGGGUGUCGUUCGGUCAUAAAGCGGAUGUUCUCGCAAACAUAGUAUGCACAUAGAUUAGUCCCCUGUUCCUGCAGCAUGCACACUUUACGAGAAUAGAAUCCAGUCAGAUAAUAAUCAAGCAUUAUAAUGGUAUUGAAACUAGAACUAAAUAGAUGUGCGGACGUAGCUAGUACUGCUUAAUUACCUUGGGUCGUACCAUGUUAGCUUUAAUUUCCAUUCACCGCUAACCUCCUCGAUGAACCGUGUCCGAACUCUGUCAAGCGUCAACUUCAGGUCCAUGUACUCUUUAGGAUCUUUUUUCAGUCAGUCUAUUACUUCAACUUUUGCCUCGUCAACCUUAAUGAUUAGUAGGAUCCAACGGAAACUGCGUUGUAUAAGCGGACAUGCAUAAUUCAUCAAGUACUACGUACACAUAAAAUCGAGUAAGCAAAAAAGAAUUUAUGGUACAAGACAGUAACACUCACCUAACGUUGUAAAGAAAUACUAUUUCUGAUUGGGUAUUUAGUACCUCCAAAAACCUGUACAAGUUCUCCUUUAUUUCAUCUUUAUGCUUUAUUAACAUCUGAUCAAUAAUGAUAUUUGGAUCAAUGAAGCCAAUGCCAAAGACUUCAUCUCUUUGCAUAACACCACACAACAGAAUAUAAUGAGGAUAAUUAGAGGCAAAUAAAUGAAAUAAAUGGGGUAAUAGUUGUGUGUAUUUAGAGAAAUUUUCGUUUGAUCUUUUAUUAGUAGUAUAGAAAUAUUUAUUAAGCGAUAAAGAAGACUAUAGUUUUACAUUGAGACCCUAUUUUAGAGUUUGGCAUAGGGCCCUUGAUUUUGCCGGCCCGGCCCUGCAUCUAAGAUCCCAUGAAAAAAACAUAUACAAGUCAAAAUAUAUUAAAAUAUAUUACACACAUUAUCACCAAUAAAUCAAACUUUUGCUGCAGCAAUUCGGUAGGCUGGGGUAUUAUAUGUGGCCCCUAGCCUUGCUGCGAAAUAACAGGUGGUGUCCGCGAGCUCUAUUGUCUUGAAGUUGAGCUUGUUUUGUAAUUUACAUUUAAUUAACAAUUGCCCCGUUUAAUCUCUACCAUGUUGAGUUCAAGUCAGGAAGUAAGCGCUCGUUCAGUCAUUUGUCUAGCUUCACUUGUACAACCAUUCAAAAAAUAGAUCUUCGGCAUUGUGGCCGGCUGUGCCUUGGGUGAUAUGCCCACGCACACGUAAGCAAUAAAGCUUUGCUUUCCCUAAAAAAAAAGUCAUGAGCUAAGCACUCGUUCAGUCAUCAUUUGUCUAGCUUGACUUGUACUACUACACUUCAAAAAUAGACGAUCUGCUUCUGCCAUACGCAGCAGUUAUUGAAUUGAAGCACAGCGAUGGUCAUAAACUGUUAACUGGGUUCUUUCCCUUAAACCAGGAAAAAAUAUAUGAUUUUAGUGUGUGGUAGAUGGGUAGCUAAUGCAUCCACCAAGUUUCCAUUACUUAAGCAUACCGCCGCCUCCUACCUUAGUUCAGUUUAUUCGCUGUAUACUUGUCAUAGCUUUCGUCGGACUAGCUAGCUACUUGCACCCAUCAACUAGGCUAUAGAUACAAAUGGAAAUCGGCAGCUACGAGCAAAGGCACACGACACGCUACUUGGAAUGGAACGCAUCAGAGAACACAUCAGGUGUACGGACCAGGCAUUCAGUAGUGUGAGUGAUGUAGGCUGGUGUAGGCGGAAAAGAGGCCAGCGAGCCAAGAUGAGAAAAAGGACAUGGCUACAAGUUGCAACCCAUCAAUGCUUCGAGGCGGCCGCUGCAGCACAAAAGCUCACCAGUGCCUUGUGUAUGAAAAUGGAAUUUUUGUGGCUGUCCUUUUGGCCGUCCGAGGGCUUCGAUUUUGUCCACUGAAUCUCUUUAGUCCCUGUUAUCCCCCUUAUAGAAUCUAAAAAAAAAACUCCCUCGUGUGUGUCAGUGUCCCUGACAUCUCGGGCCCACAGGCCAGUGGCACUCAGCCGAGCCACGCAAGGUAGCAGCGGCCGCGCAGGCCCAACCCCAAAGUGUCCGGGCCCGACUGGGUCCAGUGAAGCCCGAGGCCUCCACUACUUAUUGAAGACACAGCGCACCGUCCCAACCAUGUUUUGCUAUACCAACAAAAAGUAGACUGUCUUUCUUAACACAAAAGUAGAUGGUUUUCUCAUAGAUGAAGUUGUUACGAUAUAUAUAUAUGUGUGUGUGUCUUGCCUCAUUGUAAAAUACGUACUAUUUUACUAGAGUUGAGCAAAGCAUGUGAAGUGUUUUAGCAACAUCUGAAUAUUGCACAUGGCUUUACUAAUUAUGCAAGAUAGGAGAGGGAGCAGAGGCUUAUUCUUUCAUGCAAGAAUAUAAUCGUGCUGGUUGGAUUAUAUUCAUGCCUUGUUUAGGCACAUGGGACAGACCACAGUGCUUCUAUUUUUCAUAUUUGUGAACUACUAAAACUUGCAAAAAGCUUCCAGCACAUAUACACGGGGACGAUAUCAAUUGGAGACAUGGAGAUGGAGCAGAGCUAUUCUCUUGCAAGUAGUGUUUUGGUAAUAAGUAGUACAAAAUCGCGGAAGAUCGCGCUGCUAUCGCCCGAGAUCGCUCCAUUCCUUCGUUGGCCAUUGUGGGAAAAUUCUUCUGCCGGUAAACCGUUUUGCCUGCGAUUUUAGUCUAUGGGUAUGUUUAAUCGUUGUAUUUCUUUUCAAUUAGCAUGGCGACAUACUCCCCUCGGCAAUGGCACUGAAAUGUUUUUAAUCAAUGUUCUGUUAUAGUUAUUUCCAGACAAUAAAUGAAUCUGUUGAGUACUAUUUUACUAGAGUAAAUGUUACAGUGCCUUCGUGAUUUCUCAGAACUAGAGUUCAGCAAAGUGGAAUGCAGCUGCAGUGCAAGAACCUGUUGGCUAUGUCUAAUACAGUCCUCAAACUCAGAAAAUGCGCUAGAACCGUCGUUGUUCUCGGUCUAUAGGUCCACAUACUGUCCUAACUACGAUUCACCGCCAUAUUGGGAUGACGUUGCGCUGAACUGAGUCUGCAGCGUCAUUUCCCCACCACCAUGCAAUGAAGACUCAGGCCGGGCCCGAACGCCUGCCCUGAACCAUCGCGGUCCCAGUAACAUGGAGGUGGCCUGCCCUGAACCAUCGCGGUCUAUGUGGAAGGUUCGGAUCCUGCGUGGGGAGCCGAAUACCAUCGCCUUGGUAGUCGAGUCAAGGCGAAUCGCCGAAUCACCAAUUCUGUGGGAUACCGAAGAUUACGGUAAGAUCGGAUCUGGAUGUUCGUUUAGAGUACUUGUAUAGGCACCGCCCCAUGUAAACCCAUUUGCUACUGUGUAACCCUUGCCGCCUCUAUGUAUAUAAAGAGGAAAAUGGGUGUCGAACGGAAAAACACAUCUUCCACCUCAUUCUACCUCCAUCCUUUAGCUGUGAGAUCGAGAUCUACCUCGAAAACACCCGAGCACACUACAGAUAAUCCCAUACACCCACAACAGGAGUACGAUUGUAAUGGACAUUGUACGUCCACGGCCAAAACCUAUAUAAAUCUCUGUCUCCAGUGUGCUACCAUCCUGAUCUCCAAGCGUUACCCUCCAAAUAAAAUAUACAGUUGUCAAAUACCUCGACAGUUGGCACGCCAGGUAGGGGCUGGGAUGGCCAACGUCAUCAUCGCUGACAAAAACACUCCGGAAGCAAAGAUAUUCAUUGAAGACCCGCGGGGCGACUUCACUGUGGCUCCAUCCUCCCUUGGAUCUCCUCGACAAUCGGAAGAUGCUCAAAAAUCAGAUUCCCGGCACGAGGCUCGCGGAACGAUUUGGAUCUGGGGCAAGUCAGGGAGGCUUCUCGUUGGCACUCUUGACCCCCCCCCCCCCACACACACUCCAUAGAGCAUGGAUUGGAUGAUGAACGAAGCACCGUUGGGAGCUUCCUCUUCGAUAACGAUACAGCAAUUAAAGUGACCCGGACCAUGAAUGGCGGGGAACCAACCCGCUGCUAGUCACCAUCCCCGGAUGCAGACACGGUGGAUCGACCCACUGCUGACCUUGCCAACGCGACUAACUUCACCGGCCUAACCAAAGGGCAAGCAAACGAGCUCGCACCUGAGAUCGCAACCGGCGCUCACGCGAUGCAGCUCUCACGACGGGUACUGGAGAAAGAUCAGGCAAAAUUUCAUGAGAUAUGAAGGUCAUUCUCGGAAAAGGUUGCACCAGGAUUAUACAGUUAGCCGUUAGUGAGUGAACUUUCUCAUGAUUUAUAAUGCUUAUGUUAAGUGGUGCAACGUCCGAACCUGAAUAAACGAAAUACCCGUCAGUUUAGCUAAAGAUGCACAUAUACAGGAAGAUCAUCACCUUUUCCCAGAUUGUGCCGUAAUUUGUAUCAUUCAAUAUGCAUGUGAGAUAUUUCAAUUGUUGAGGCCAAUGCAAAAUGACUUCUCUCAUGCAUUGUGCAUCUAUGAUCAAUCUGUGCAUAGUUAUCUCGUGUCCCCACAUUCGUGUUGAAACAUCAAUUGGAUGAAAGCAAAGAAGAAGCACAAGAGGGUGAUACGCGUGUGGCACAUUAAAGUUAUGAUGAGUAAUUGCUCCUAACUUCUAUCAAUAGCGAAUAUGGAAAAGGUUUUUUGACUGUACUUGCAGUUUAGAGUUUACCAUGCUCUACGCACCUCAUUUUGUUCAUACUCAUGCUUAUGUGGGUAUUACCAUUCAUUGAUGCAUAGACGAAACCUUCUAUAUAAACCCAUGAGUGAUUCAUUUGCUACUUGCUUGCAUGUUGAGAUAGGUAGCUGGUACCAAUUAAUUUUCUGCUUAGUUGUUAUAUUCCAUAUUUUUAUUUGUUUGUACCUACAUUCCCUAAGUUGAUGUAAGAAGUUGGAGGAAACCAAAAUGUAAGCCAGCGGGAUUCACCAACUAGCACAUAACCAACUCAGUGACAUUCUCCACUGGGCGUCUCUGGCCUAGGGAGAUCCUCAAAACAAAUAGAGGGAGAUCCUGAACCCAACCAACAACAUUACUCCGGGUCUCUAUGCUCUCUUGAAGAAGGAUCCUAAGAUAGUAGCACUAGGAGAGGUAUAGUGAUGGAAGGCUGACCGGUAGCAUUAACUACUGGUUAAUCAAGAACUCCUGGGGCAGCUGGUGGAGGGACGGGGGUUACAUUCGCCUCAAGCGUGGAUAUGCAAAAGAUGGAGGGUUAUGCGGCAUUCUAAUGGAUCCGCCGUACCCGGUGUAUCAUGUAAUGCUUGAGUAUUAGUAGUCCCUAGUGGAUCCUAUCAACUAUAUAUGGGGGUUAAAUCUCCUAGCUAAUUUGUUGUCAUGGGAGAUAUAAUUUCAUUUUCUUUCAUAUUAUAUACUAUUUAUUAUUAUUCCGCCGCAUAUAUAGUAGAGCAUGCAUUUGUAAAGCAUACGUGUGCGCAAACCAGAAGAAUCGGCAAUUUAACAUGGAAACAAAACUUAAAACAUUGAGAAUGACAGAACUUCAUAGAUGCCACACAUGAUAUAUAUGAUGUGCACCACUAGGUCAGCUUGCCACUAAGUGUCCUAUAUUAAGUUUAGAAACCACAGUAGUUAAGCUAGAUCAAGUAUUUUGGUUCUUAGCGCAUUCAAACAGUAGAACAAAUUAUCCAGACACAAGUGUCCAAUGUACCAUCUAUCAACCAAGUCAUGCCACUCAAUAUCAAAACAAUAUUAUAGUAGAUUUAAUUGUCACGGGAAGUUCAUCCUAAUAGAACAUAUAUGAGUUGCAGGAGAUAGCUAGGUGACCAACACCAUCAGACGUCAAUUGGGAUCAUCGGCUAAGAGGUGUGGCACAAAAACAAAUAAAACAAUUGUGGGAACAGAAGAACUUUCCUGGAGAUUGAGCCCGAGACAGGAAUCAUAGAGGAAUUAAACUACAGAGUCGAAGCCAGAGUUUCAGCCACGUUACUGCCAUCUUACCAGUGCCAAGUUCGACACUGGUUAGAGUGAGCACCCAAUGCGCAAGAUAGAGGAUGAAACUGUGUAUAUUCAUUCAUCCGCACUGAGUGCAUUAUAUACUUACAUGGGAUAAGGUUGGUUACAACAGAAACAAGAGAGAGGGAGAGGAUCACGACGUGGAAGCCAUCGUGGGCGCGCAUGCAGUCGUACGUGCUAUCUCUCCCUAGCGAGUCGGAGGGGGCUGCCUUGGCCCUGACGCUGGGUCAGUGUGCUGUGGUAAAACGGUCUUCCAACCACCCCCCCCCCCCGCCCCUGCAGUCAAAACGCGGUGCUCACCGACGUUGAGACUGGUCCGGAAGUCGUUGAACACAGAAGUAGGCAAUCCUUUGGUGAAGAUGUCCGCGAAUCGGGAUGUCGUCGGGACGUGGAGGACGCGCACCUCGCCCAAGGAGACGCGCUCACGGACGAAGUGAAGGUCAAUCUCGAUGUGCUUGGUGCGUUGGUGCUGGACGGGGUUGUUGGACAUGUACAUGGCGCUGACGUUGUCGCAGUAGACGACGGUGGCGCACGGUGGUGGGCAACGAAGUUCGCCGAGGAGUUGGCGGAGCCAACUCGACUCAGCGACGGCAUUGGACCGAGACACGGUGUUCUGGCGCUUCGAAGACCAGCUGACGAGGUUGGCGCCAAGAAAAACGGCGAAGCCCGAGGUGGACUUGCGCGUGUCGGGGCAGCCGGCCCAGUCGGCAUCCGAGUACGUCGUGAGGUCGCCGGAGGUGGAGCGAUGAAAGUGGAGGCCCAGGUGAGCGGUGCCACGAAUGUAGCGGAGGACGCGCUUCACCAGCUGGUAGUGACUGUCGCGAGGGUCAUGCAUGAAGAGGCAGCAUUGUUGUACGGCAUAGGAGAUGUCGGGUCUGGUGAGGGUGAGGUACUGGAGGGCCCCGGCCAAGCUCCGGUAGAGUGAUGGGUCGUGAAAGGCAGGACCAUCGGUGGCGGAGAGCUUGGCGGUGGUGUCGAUGGGUGUAGACACAGGUUUGCAGUUAAGCAUGCCUGCACGGUCAAGGAUCUCGAGUGCAUACUGCUCUUGAGAGAGGUGGAGAGGAGAUGGCGACGUGGGAGGUGGCGCCGGUGUCCAUGAACCAGUCGGAGCUGGUCGACGGGGGCUGCAUCUGGAGGUUAGCGAAGUGCGUCAUCAGCGCCUGAUGUUCAUCCCAUGUCGGUGCAGUGGGUGGCUGACCCGCCGCCACGGGGUAGGCCUGGUGUGGAGCGGGAGGGCGAGGCCCUAGUACACCAGCCGAGUUGGCUGGCACCCACGGGGAGCGCCACUGCUGUGGCGUGGGAGCAGGGGAACCCCACGGGGCGAAGUAGCCCAGCCACGGCUGCUGGGCGCCGGUGCCACGCCCACCGGCGGAGCCAGAGGCGGCGCCGGGAGAGUCCUGGCCACGACCACGGCCACAGCCGCGCCCGCCACGCUGGCAAUCCCCAUGAAGGGGCGCCUUGCCCUUGUCCUGCGGGGAUGACGGCGGAGCAUCGGUGGAGGACGAGCCGCCCGAGGAGGAACCGCCCACGGGGCCAAUCGUGAGGGGGCAGGCGCCAGCGGCGCGUUAGCGCUCGAGGACGCCGAUCUCUUCCAGCAGGAGACGGGAGCGAGCCUGCACGAAGGACGGAAACGGCUGCUGCAUGGGAAGAAGAGUGGCCAUGACAUGAAACCGCCGGCUGAGACCGCGGACGAGCUGGAGGGUGAGGGAGCGGUGGGAGACGGGCUCGUCCACGUCAGCCAUGGCGUUGGCCAGUUGCUGCAGACGACGGCAGUACUGGGCCACCAACAUGUCCCCCUGCACGGUUGCGCGGAACUCGGCGCCGAUGUGUAUGGCACGACCGGCGGCGUUGUCGCAAAAGAAGACCUCCAGCUGGCUCCAGAGGUGGUACGUCGUGCUCUCCGGCAAUUGGAUGAUGUCGUAGAGCUCGUCGGAGAUGGUGCCGUAGAUCCAGAGAGCGAUCGUGAUGUCGUCGUUGCGCCAGCCUGGGUCUUCGUGUAGGGGAUCGGCCUCCUCGAGGACGUGCUCCUCGACGUGGAACUUGCAGAGGACGAACCAGAAGAGGUGGCGCCACUUGGAGUAAUUGUUGUCGUCCAGGCUGAGCUUGAACGGGAUGUAGGAGGAGAUAUUGGUGUGGUGCAUGGCGGGAUCAGGGGCGGGCUGGGCUUGUGGGGGUGGAGGGGCGAGGACGAGAGCGUCGCCGGGGAUGCAGGCAAUGCGGAGCGGUGGUACGGCGGGAGCAGCACCGCGAUGGAGAACGCGGGCGUUGGGAGAGGCGGGCAGCGGCACGAAGGGGUCGGCGGCCGGUGCGGGCUGGGGACCGGGGCGACGGGCGGCAGGAUGGAGGGAGCGUCAGCGUCACCGGAGGAGCGAGUGCGGCGGAGCGGACGUCAGAAGCUCAUGGCGGAAGCGGAGAAGGGAGGAACGAGCGACGUCAGCCUCUGAUACCAAGAUAGAGGAUGAAACUGUGUAUAUUCAUUCAUCCGCACUAAGUGCAUUAUAUACGUACAUGGGAUAAGGUUGGUUACAACAGAAACGAGAGAGAGGGAGAGGAUCACGACGUGGAAGCCGUCACGGGCGCGCAUGCAGUUGUACGUGCUAUGUCUCCCGAGCGAGUCGGAGGGGGCUGCCUUGGCCCUGACGCUGGGUCAGUGUGCUAUGGUAAAACGGUCUUCCAACAGCGCAGGGGCGAUACGGGGGCAGUCAGCCCUACAGCCGCACGAGCGUUGCGGGUUGCGAGCAUAGUUGUUGAUACUAUUCUAACUUAUCUAUAUUUUUUUAUUAUUCCAUGCUAUUAUAUUAUAAUUUUAGGAUACUUUUUGAGUAUUAAUUUAUCAAUUUAUAUUAUUUUUAAGCAUUAAACUAUUGACCCAGUGUUGAGUGUCAGUUGCUAUUUUCUACGUGUUUUUGCCUUUUCAUGUUUAUAGUACCAAAUGAAGACAAAUUGCCCUGAAACUUUUUUAUGACUUUUUCUGGACCAAAAGAACACCUGAAAGCUUCAUGACGAGACCGGAGGCCACACGAGGGAGGCACAAGCCAAUAGGGGCACCGAAGAGGGUCGGCGCGCCCUGAUGGCUUGUCCCUCCCGGUUGUCCAUCCUACCCCUGUUCUCUGGCCUAUAAAUUCACAUAUAUUUCAAAAACCCUGGAGGACAUACCAAAACACUUUUUCUGCCGCCGCAAGUCUCUGUUCCGCUGCGAAUCCAUCUGGAGCUCUGUUUCAAAGUCCGUCGGAGCGGGGAUCGAUCACAUAGGGCCUCUUCAUCAACCUUGUUGCCCUAAUGGGGAUAUGUGAGUAGUUCACCACAGACCUACGAGUCCGUAGUUACUACCUAGAUGGCUAUCUCUCUCUCUCUUGAUCUUCAAUAAAAUUAUCAUCACAUCUUUGCUUUGAUCUAUCCGAUGUAAUUCUUCUGUGCGGUGCGUUCAUUGGGAUUCUAUGAAUUGGAGUCUUCUAUGAAUUUUAUUUAUGAUUCUUAUUUGCAUGAUCAUUAUAGCUUGGUAAAUAUCUUCCAUCUAUUGAUUUUCUUUGUCAAGUCAAUUGAUCUUUCUUCAGCGAGAGGGGUGCGUUGUAUUGGGUUCAAUCUGGAGGUGCUCUAUAUCCCAGUGACAGAAAGGUACAAAACACGUCUUUGUAUUUCUGCCACUACAUCAUGUCAUUGUUAUCAAAGCAUUACUCUGUUUUACUCAACACUCUAGAUGCAUGGUGGAUAGCGGUUGAUUGAUUGAGUAAUAGUAAUAGAUGACGGCAGGAGUCUGCCUAUUUGCUUAUGGACGUGAUGCCUAUAUAUAAAUGAUCAUUGCCAUGAAUUUCACAUAACUAUGCGCUUUUCUACCAAUUGCCCAACAACAAUUUAUUUAUCACCGUAUGCCUAUUACAUGAGAGAUGCCACUAGGAAAAAGUAUGGCCCCCUGGUCUAUCCAGCUAUAAGUUUACAAUGCUUUCAAUACCUUGCUGCCAUUUAUUAUCUUUUAUUUUAUUUUGCAAUUUACAAUUCACAACUAUUAUCUACACAUUUCACUUUCUUGCAAAUAACCAGUCCAAGGGGAUAGAGAACCCUCUUGCCCGUGUUGGGUGCAAGUGCUUUGCUCAUUUGUGUGUAGUUGCUGAAGACAGAAGCUGACUGAUAUUCCUAUUGGUUCGAUAAACCUUGGUGCCUAACUGAGGGACAUACUUACCCAUAUUGUGUUGUAAUUAUCUGUUCCUCUUCACGGAAAACCCAACGCAGAUCAUAAGUAUCAGUUGCAAGCCGAAUUCGACCAACGUUUGAGAAGACCGAAGGCGGACGCGUGGGGAAGAUAGAUGGCGGAAGAAAUGGUGGACCACCAGGGACUGCGGGAGUGUCGAGGGGAAUUGGUGGAAUAAGAGGAGCACCUGCGAUCGGGGUGGCUCCGGAGUGGCAUGGUGCUGGCAGGGAAACUACGACACACACUGGGUCAGAGAUCCACAGUGAGUGGCGGCGGUCGGUGUUAGACACGACAUCGACGGCGGCGAUAUAGGCAGUGGAGUUGUGCGAGAGAAAGGGAAUCAAGAAUAUUGGUUCGUGCACGUGAGUGUGAGAGUGGUGGGGGUGUGGGACCCACCUAACCGACCUGGGGUGGUGAAAUUUUGGGUAAAUAACUAAUUUUCCCUACGAGAAUAGAGUAGUUGGGGGUUAAAAGAUCUGUCUUGAUAAGUUUGAGUCGACUGAGACUUCACGCAGUCUUAGUCGAUGCUAUAUCCGUGAGAACUUAUGAGGUUCGUG
rnacentral:lncRNA from 1 species